AUAGCGAGUAGAGUAGGGAUGAGGAUGAUUUUUAAACUCCCCACAAGAUCCAAUGUGACUAAACACACAUAGCUAGUAAUGCUCUCCUCGAUCGAUCAGACAAGCAACUGCCAUUCGAUCGGUCACUGUUUACAGUUAUUCCAAUUAAAAUAAAUAGAGUGAUAAAAGGUGGCGAAGAAUCAGAGAAACGGAUAGUGACAGUGAAUUGGAGUGAAGAGGGAGAAGAAUCGAAGGUGCAAGAUCGAUCGUACCUUUCCUGACCCAAUAAAAUAAAUUGCAACCAGGAAAAUUCCCGGGAUACCUACACAUUCCUCUACAGUCAACCAUGCGUAACGAUAGCGACAUAAACCCCAAACGGUUAUGAGAUGCUGGUAUAAAAAUGUCUGUCAACGUUACCUUUCUUGAUAUACGAAGAUCCUCAGUGUCUCCUCAUCCUCGUUCACUUGUCACUCACUACGAGCACAGAAAUGUAUCACGAGGGUACGCGCAGCACUGUUAUGAUUACCAAAUCCAGGGAAUGAAUUUUCUCGAAAGUAGAAUUGAAUAUCGUUGACGUCCUGGCUAAGCUAAGGGUGAACACCAGUGCGACACACGAACCGUCCGAUGGCAUCCGCGUAACUAACUCGUCGUCGAAACGAGGGGAAAGAUGCCCUAUCCUGAUGGCCCGGGCUCCUGGCGGACUUGCGCCCCACCAUCCAAGCGCAACAUGUGGGAAACUGCGGGAGAUAUGUGACACUCACUUCUCUAGCCCUGCUAAAGGGAGUGACUUGGAGUUACAGUGGAGAUGAUUUUAGCCGAGUCAAAGGUCAUGAUUCUGAAAAACGUUCUCACCACCUUUUACUAUGCUUUUUAUUAGAAGCACGAAUUCUUACUUUCAACUUUCGUUGAGUACUUCCGGUACCCUUACCUUUUUUGUGAAUUCAAUGCAGAUACUUGUGAACUACCAUGAAUAGAUCAUUCUCGCAAUACAGUGGGGUAUGGAUUAUACAGUGAGUGGUUAAUUAUAUUUAACAAAAGGUCCUUUCAGAGAGAACCCGGUCGCUCGAUCACAUUAGAACGAUUUAAUAUAAUUUUAUAAAUUUACUCCAAGCAAACGAGGCGAUUGGAAAGACGAAUUAUGGAUAAUCGAUUAACGUUCCAAGACGCCAGAAUCACAAGCGCCAAUAACCACCAAGUAAAGCCACUCUCACGGGAUAUAAAAGUCUCAGGAAGAAAAUGGUACUGUUCGUGAGUGAGCCCUCUUUAUAUUGUCGAUAUAAAGGUGAACGUGUAUGCGACAAUAUUACGGAUAUUAUGAAAAUACAAUAGUAUGUCCCCUCGAUAUUUUCUAGAAAUCUCUCUCGUGUUUGCUCACACCAUCCGCCACCUAUUCCACUUCCUCCCAAUUCUCUUUCCCAUCAGUAACACAGCUAUACUAUACCGAUAUGUACUCGCCGAUUGGAGAUUGCCGCAGCAGUAACAUUUAGAGUAAAACCAUAACCAGCGAAACGAA